GAUCUUUCGAUAGCCCAUAUCUAAUUUCGUACAUUCUAUUCGUCAUCAUGGAUCUCGUGCUGAAGGCAAAUGUUUUAUCUAAUUGCAGUGGGGAUGACUAUGCCAUCCGCUGUUCGGAAACCGUACGGUUUGGUACUUCUCAAGGCGCGUCAUACCUCCUGUCAUCGUCUUGGCUAGACACGUGGCGAUGGAUGGAAGGAGCAGGCAGCGUUUGCGCUACGACGCUGCUGAUCUGAUCCGGUGUAGAAUAUUGAGUGUGGGCUUGCCCAAGCGGAGAGGCUUCGACACGCCUUCCGAGAGAGUGCGACGUGGCGAUGGAAAUAUCGUGGCAGCUUCGCUGCACUUAAAUUCAACGCCACCUACUGCUUACGAAAUGGUACCCUGCUGACCUAUAAUUACUGGAACGCCACAAUGACCCACUAAAAUAUUAGUGCGCAAGAGCAUGCUUCUUCAGCGCCGACUAACAGUUUCGUCUUCGAAUUCAUCAGCAUGAAACAAAUGAAUCGAGUUCCUCCGCCUCAUGCCGACAGCCGAACAGUUUCACUUACAUCACUAUCUUCGUCUUUUAACAUUAUGAAAUUUCAUUGCAUUAUUUGAUACUUAUGUUAUUCACACUUGUACUGGCAAUGGCGUUCUUGUAGUUACAGCAUAAGGACGGCCCAUUCUUUCAUGCCCUUUUCCUUCUAUUAAACGCAAGGAAGGGAAGAUAAGUACGACCGAGGAACGGAGAGACUUGGGCGGUCCAACGAUGUUGCCUGGGGUGGAGUUGGCACGGAAGCGAAGAAUCCACCAUCGCCACGAGGUGGGGACACCGCCGAACCUGCCGUCGUCCGCGCGCCUUCCGUUUUCCGACCGUCUGCCUGCUGCGGCCAUGGACGAGCCGACGCUCGCCGCCCGCCUCCGUCUGGAGGAGAAGCUUCGGGGCCUUAUGGGCUCCCGACGGCCGUCUCCCUCCUCCUCUCCGCCAUCCAUCAGGUCAAAUAUAGAAGAGAUCUCGACGCUUCCCGCAGCGGCUGGCAAUAUCACAACGAGGGUAAUCGCUACUGAACUCCCUAAGCGACGGAGUAACAGUGUUGCGCUUCAGAGGACGGGCUCCAGGGCCGAUCUGUGCGCGGUGUGCCUCGACGAGGUCCAGGCGAAGCAGAGGGUCACACGGCUUCCUUGCUCCCACAAGUACCACACCGAAUGCGUGCUGCCAUGGCUGGCUGCUCAUUCGCACUGCCCAUGUUGUAGAAGCCAAGUUCCUUCGUCGGAUCAGAUCUCAUAGUACUCACAUGUUUAGGGUUGUGCUGACGAGGGUAGAUUGGAGGGAGGGUUGAUGGUGUGAAGCAGGGUGGAGGUCUGCAACACGAACCUGUUCUUUGAUUGUUUCAUAUGAAGUAAUCCCAUCCUCUUUUAAGUAGUGCUCAA